CUACGGGGCGCUGCAGUGGGGAAUAUUGCACAAUGGGCGCAAGCCUGAUGCAGCCAUGCCGCGUGUAUAAAGAAGGCCUUCGGGUUGUAAAGUACUUUCAGCGGGGAGGAAGGGAGUAAAGUUAAUACCUUUGCUCAUUGACGUUACCCGCAGAAGAAGCACCGGCUAACUCCGUGCCAGCAGCCGCGGUAAUACGGAGGGUGCAAGCGUUAAUCGGAAUUACUGGGCGUAAAGUGCACGCAGGCGGUUUGUUAAGUCAGAUGUGAAAUCCCCGGGCUCAACCUGGGAACUGCAUCUGAUACUGGCAAGCUUGAGUCUCGUAGAGGGGGGUAGAAUUCCAGGUGUAGCGGUGACAUGCGUAGAGAUCUGGAGGAAUACCGGUGGCGAAGGCGGCCCCCUGGACGAAGACUGACGCUCAGGUGCGAAAGCGUGGGGAGCAAACAGGAUUAGAUACCCCUGUAGUC
rnacentral:rRNA from 1 species